GUAACAUUAGCUCAGUGGUAGCGCGUCAGGAUCAUGCCCCAAAGGUCCCGAGUUCGAGUCGGGGUUUUUAUU